rnacentral:rRNA from 1 species
GAUGAACGCUGGCGGCGUGCCUAAUACAUGCAAGUCGAGCGAACAGACGAGGAGCUUGCUCCUCUGACGUUAGCGGCGGACGGGUGAGUAACACGUGGAUAACCUACCUAUAAGACUGGGAUAACUUCGGGAAACCGGAGCUAAUACCGGAUAAUAUAUUGAACCGCAUGGUUCAAUAGUGAAAGACGGUUUGCUGUCACUUAUAGAUUGAUCCGCGCCGCAUUAGCUAGUUGGUAAGGUAACGGCUUACCAAGGCAACGAUGCGUAGCCGACCUGAGAGGGUGAUCGGCCACACUGGAACUGAGACACGGUCCAGACUCCUACGGGAGGCAGCAGUAGGGAAUCUUCCGCAAUGGGCGAAAGCCUGACGGAGCAACGCCGCGUGAGUGAUGAAGGUCUUCGGAUCGUAAAACUCUGUUAUUAGGGAAGAACAAAUGUGUAAGUAACUAUGCACGUCUUGACGGUACCUAAUCAGAAAGCCACGGCUAACUACGUG